UGGUGUCCUAUUUAGCUAUUAAAUUUGUAUUGUGCAUGAUUUAUUGAUGAAAAUGUCUCUGCGGUGCUGGCCUGGAACGAUGCAUAAUUAUGCUUGAAAGGUGUGUAAUUUUUCAGUAAUGAAAGGAAAGACAGCCUGCAAAGAGACAUUCGAAGGCGAAUUUAAGGAAGUAGCGAAAUAACUUAAAGUAAGUUUCUAUUUUUCAAUGAUAGUAUCAAACACAUGGAGAAAAAACAGGGAAAAGAGCAAAGGAACUGGUGAAUCAUCUUGCCAAAGGAACUAGUGAAUCAUUUUGUGAAGGAAAACGAAUCAUUGAAUAUCAUACAAACCUUGGUACAAACAAAAACGUGAUCCCUUCCCUGCUCUCCCCGUAGAUUAGUGCUGUGAUAGAUUUUAUUUUGAAGUUUUUUUUUCGUUUUAGAUUUAUCAAGAUGAACGUGAAGAUGAAAGAGAAUUUUUUUACCAGUUUUAAAGUCACUGUAUUGAUCAUAACGUAAGUUUUCAGUCCCUCCUGCAUUUUUUAAUCUUAAAAGCACCUAAGAUAACAGUAAUAAAAGGCGGUUGAAUCUAGACGAAACUCAGUCUUUGCAGUCUCGAAAAGGAAGCAUCAGUCAACGAAGUUCAGGAAAAGUUGGAAUAUUCUUGCUUAGAACGAACUACGGCGCCGAAAGAUGGGAAAGGAGAAACGUAAAGGCUUGCUCGCAGCGAACAAUAGAACGAAAGAAUCGUAAAGAGAUGUCGGACAUGCCUUGGGACAUUUAUGCACGCAAAUACAAAACUCGAUUUCGACAAUAUGCAUGAGUAAAAAUUGCCUGGAAUUUGGCUUUUUUGACUGAGAUAUAAACUGAACACUCUUCUUUUUACCUCCUUCAUUUUCAAGUUUUUCGCCUGUGCAUGAUUUUUGCAUGAAGUCUGGUCGUAUCAAGCGCAUGCGGAGUGAAUACAAGUGAUUCUGGGGCCCCAAUCACUUGUGUUUUCUCCAUCUUGACGACUAUAUAGUCCGGACAAAAUUAUCGCUCAGAGAGCGCCUAAAACAUAAAAACAUGAAAUAUGUAUUUCUAGAAGGAGAUGAUAGUCCAGUGUUCUUGCUUUCUUGUACAAAAACGUGCAUGACAUUUUGUAUUAAAACGUGCAUGACAUUUUGUAUUCGCGUGCGCAAUGCGAAGGCCACGAGUGACUUACGUUGGAGUGUCGGAGAUGAUGAAGGAUCGUCGC